AUUGUGCUUCUUCCCAAGAAAGAGGGCGUUGAAUGGAUCUCAGAUUUUCAGCCUAUUAGCCUCAUCCACGCAAUUGCCAAAAUUGUGGCCAAGAUGAUGGCCUCGCGGCUCGCGCCCUUUAUGCACCUGCUUGUCUCUAGGUCCCAGAGCGCCUUCAUCAAGACGCGGAGCAUCCAUGACAACUUUCUUUACGUUCGGAAUUUGGCGCGCAGGCUGCACCGUUUGAAAAAGCCCUCCCUUCUCUUCAAGCUAGACAUCAAGAAAGCUUUUGAUUCCGUAUGCUAG
rnacentral:rRNA from 1 species